rnacentral:rRNA from 1 species
GACGAACCGUGCGAACGUUAUUCGGAAUCACUGGGCUUAAAGCGCGUGUAGGCGGGACGGCACGUCUGUCGCUGAAAUCCCCCGGCUUAACCGGGGAACUGGCGUAGAUACGACCGUCCUGGAGGGGCGUAGGGGGACCUGGAACUUCCGGUGGAGCGGUGAAAUGCGUAGAUAUCAUUAGGAACGCCGGUGGCGAAAGCGACGUGCUGGACCUCUUCUGACGCUGAGGCGCGAAAGCUAGGGGAGCAAACGGG